AUCAUGACGACAAAUUUAAUUCUGAGAUCA
rnacentral:piRNA from 1 species